UAAUACUAACGUGACUGUUACCAUAAUUUCAACAAAUCCUAAAUGUCCUAACAUAAACCAUUAGUGCAAUCUUCAUACCAAAUAUUGAAUCGUUUCUAAAUUGACCUUUUAUUAUUGGGUGCUUGUGAACGGGAGAUGUGUUAUUGUUGUAAAUAUGAAGUAAAUGGCAAAACAAAGAAAUUGUAAUAUCCACUAACACCAUUGUAAUCCUGUAGGUACUUACAUAUUUACUUUGUAAGCUCAUCAAGUGCCUUACUAUUGUUUAUCCAUCUACAAUACCUGCGUAAAAAUAGAGUGAAAUCAAUCGAACUGAACGUCCUAAAAUAAUUGUUAACCAAGCGCAUACAGAAUUGAAAACUAUUGACAAUAUUACAUAGAAUAUACUUGGUGAUAUCAACAUAUUAAUUAGACAGUAGAAGUAUUGUAAACUAACCUACUGAGGCCGUUUACUUACACUUCAUAAUUUGAUUCCAAGACAGAAUAAGAUCCUGUUACUAUAAAAUAUAUAAAUCAUGUCCGUACUUCGUCCGUAAGUAUAAUUAUAUCUGCAGAGGACCGUACAAGAUUGUGUUCAUAAUGAUGUUUGAUUUAGAAUAACUUGUGUUAUAAUACAGAAAUCGGUCUAACGUUGCACACAAAUGAAAUAUCGAAUGUUGACUAUAAGGUAAUAAAUGUUGAAUAAAACGAAUAGUAUGAGAUCAGCAGCUAUUUAUAUAUUAUAAUUAAUUAUAAAAAUGUUUUCCUGCACAUGUAUCUCGACACCAGUUUCCUGAGAAUAAUUUACAGCUUAUUAACUAUUUCUCCUGAGUCCACUCUAUUUAUUCUUUUUGAUAAUAACAAUGUUUUUAAUAAAUCCUAUAAUAAUUACGUGGAAAUAUUUGUGAUGUUCGGAAUAAAGUUUUAUCGAAAUAUGA